CACAAAUCUAAAUAUACCCGUGUGAAAUUUAAUGCGUGUCAAGUGAUUGUAAUGCAUUGGAUACGGUACAAGAAGAUUUUUAGACUUUUUUGUUUGACCAGUUGAAGGAGUUUCCAAAAAAACAAAACAGAGAGAUAGAGAGAUUGCAUACAAGGAUUCCUUGUACUAUAACCAAUACCAUCAGAUGUAGUGGUUAUUGUAUAUAUAAUAAGCUGCAGUGGCUAUGGUAAUAAGAGUGUCCAUUUAAGCAACAUUUAUGUUAAUGUAACAAGUUAUGAAUAAGUAAAAAGAAAAGGACAUGUAU